rnacentral:rRNA from 1 species
UACGGGGGGGGCAAGCGUUGUUCGGAAUUACUGGGCGUAAAGGGCUCGUAGGCGGCCAACUAAGUCGGACGUGAAAUCCCCAGGCUCAACCUGGGAACUGCGUCUGAUACUGGAUGGCUUGAAUUCGGGAGAGGGAUGCAGAAUUCCAGGUGUAGCGGUGAAAUGCGUAGAUAUCUGGAGGAAUACCGGUGGCGAAGGCGGCAUCCUGGACCAACACUGACACUGAGGAGCGAAAGCCAGGGGAGCAAACGGG